GUUUUCCUUCAAGUACUACAGUUUAGUACGCCACUAAAAUGGACUGCCAUGAAAUUACCCAUACGGUUUAGAAAGUGAUGUUUAUAAAACCAAAGCAAACAAUCAAAGUUUUAAAUCUUUGUUCAUUUGUACAAGGAGCCGUAGUGGUUGAGCCAUUUAACUUAUGGUAAUUUUACCAAACUGUGACCACAACUUCAAGAUGUGACAUCAGGCCUCUGUUCAAUGGGCAGUCCCACAAUAAAAGUUCAAUUUUCACGUCAUACAUUUUAUAUGGUUAAUUUGUCAGUUUCCUGCCUCAGUUCUGUGUUUUUUUCUGGGUACUUUGGCCAAUAAAACUGACUGUCUUACAUGAAAUUAUCCAUAUGAUGUAGAAUGUGACAUUGACGGUUGACCCCUUUCAAAGAAACCACCAGCAUGUACACACAACAAUGCUGCAAUGCUUUAGACAACAUUGAUCUAGAGACUUCAUGAUUUACAUGAUUAAAGCUUUUAAAUGUAAAAAAAAAAAAAAAAAUUCCCUACCUACCUACCCACCUGCUGAUAGUGUGGGUCGGCAAUGCCAAACAAACAAUUUUUUAAGGGUGGCCUCAG
rnacentral:lncRNA from 1 species